ensembl:lncRNA
AGGAAUUGUAUAGCUGACUUACUCCAAGAACGGAAAACUAGAUGCAUCCACUCAACAGCCCUUUUUACCUUAGGUAUCCAGGAUUCAAGGAUAGUCUGACAUAAGCCUGCUUCUGCUGGCUGCAAGGUAGCCACUAACAGGGUGAUCACAACAGGAAGGAUGUUUGCCCAGGGACGGAAAUCAGUGCUAACAACUUCAGAGAGCUCUCCAUCCUCCUGAUCAAAGACUGAGCCAUGAACCAUCAUCCUAUCUCCUGCUGUCUGCUGGUGCACCAAUGGGAUCCUUCGCUGAGCAAAUCCUUGUCACGCAGAAUUACUGCC